UACGGGGGGGGCAAGCGUUGUUCGGAAUUACUGGGCGUAAAGCGCACGUAGGCGGAUUGUUAAGUCAGGGGUGAAAUCCUGGAGCUCAACUCCAGAACUGCCUUCGAUACUGGCGAUCUCGAGUUCGGGAGAGGUGAGUGGAACUGCGAGUGUAGAGGUGAAAUUCGUAGAUAUUCGCAAGAACACCAGUGGCGAAGGCGGCUCACUGGCCCGGUACUGACGCUGAGGUGCGAAAGCGUGGGGAGCGAACAGG
rnacentral:rRNA from 1 species